rnacentral:rRNA from 1 species
GGUCAAGCUGUGCACUCUAGACAGACUGCCGUGGACAACACGGAGGAAGGUGGGGAUGACGUCAAAUCAUCAUGCCCCUUAUGAUCUGGGCUACACACGUGCUACAAUGGCCGGUACAACGGGCAGCGAAGGAGCGAUCCGGAGCGAAUCCUAAAAAGCCGGUCCCAGUUCGGAUUGCAGGCUGAAACUCGCCUACAUGAAGUUGGAGUUGCUAGUAAUCGCGAAUCAGAAUGUCGCGGUGAAUGCGUUCCCGGGUCUU